AUGCAGUCGAACGGUAACAGGAAGCAGCUUGCUGCUUCGCUGACGAGUGGCGGACGGGUGAGUAAUGUCUGGGAAACUGCCUGAUGGAGGGGGAUAACUACUGGAAACGGUAGCUAAUACCGCAUAACGUCGCAAGACCAAAGAGGGGGACCUUCGGGCCUCUUGCCAUCGGAUGUGCCCAGAUGGGAUUAGCUAGUAGGUGGGGUAACGGCUCACCUAGGCGACGAUCCCUAGCUGGUCUGAGAGGAUGACCAGCCACACUGGAACUGAGACACGGUCCAGACUCCUACGGGAGGCAGCAGUGGGGAAUAUUGCACAAUGGGCGCAAGCCUGAUGCAGCCAUGCCGCGUGUAUGAAGAAGGCCUUCGGGUUGUAAAGUACUUUCAGCGGGGAGGAAGGGAGUAAAGUUAAUACCUUUGCUCAUUGACGUUACCCGCAGAAGAAGCACCGGCUAACUCCGUGCCAGCAGCCGCGGUAAUACGGAGGGUGCAAGCGUUAAUCGGAAUUACUGGGCGUAAAGCGCACGCAGGCGGUUUGUUAAGUCAGAUGUGAAAUCCCCGGGCUCAACCUGGGAACUGCAUCUGAUACUGGCAAGCUUUAAGUCUCGUAGAGGGGGGUAGAAUUCCAGGUGUA
rnacentral:rRNA from 1 species